rnacentral:rRNA from 1 species
GACGAACGUUGGCGGCGUGCCUAAUACAUGCAAGUCGAGCGAGCGGAACCAGCAGAUCUGCUUCGGCAGUGACGCUGGGAAAGCGAGCGGCGGAUGGGUGAGUAACACGUGGGGAACCUGCCCCAAAGUCUGGGAUACCACUUGGAAACAGGUGCUAAUACCGGAUAAGAAAGCAGAUCGCAUGAUCAGCUUUUAAAAGGCGGCGUAAGCUGUCGCUAUGGGAUGGCCCCGCGGUGCAUUAGCUAGUUGGUAGAGUAACGGCCUACCAAGGCAAUGAUGCAUAGCCGAGUUGAGAGACUGAUCGGCCACAUUGGGACUGAGACACGGCCCAAACUCCUACGGGAGGCAGCAGUAGGGAAUCUUCCACAAUGGACGCAAGUCUGAUGGAGCAACGCCGCGUGAGUGAAGAAG